AGAUUAAUGAUCCCCAUUGCAAGGAGAUCAUAAGUUGGCGCUUAACAAGCUAGGUGAAGCUUGGGGAGAAAGCGGGUCAAACAAAUCAAGAAGGAAAGGAAAAGUGUAGCUUGGAUACGAGGUACUUUGUGGAUGCCGGAAGAAGAUCAAGCUCAACGAAGAACCGAACACGAAAUAGAUACACGUUUCCGCACAUUGCCACGUUGUAAAUUUUAAACAACGAACUCGAUUACGUUAUGUUGAAUAACUUAUGAUUUGUUAAAAGUUUUAAUAAA